rnacentral:rRNA from 1 species
GCUAAACGCGAAGAACCUUACCAGCCCUUGACAUGCCAGGACGAUUUCCAGAGAUGGAUUUCUUCACUUCGGUGACCUGGACACAGGUGCUGCAUGGCUGUCGUCAGCUCGUGUCGUGAGAUGUUGGGUUAAGUCCCGCAACGAGCGCAACCCUCGCCUUUAGUUGCCAUCAUUCAGUUGGGCACUCUAGAGGGACUGCCGGUGAUAAGCCGGAGGAAGGUGGGGAUGACGCCAAGUCAUCAUGGCCCUUACGUGUAGGGCUACAAACGUGCUACAAUGGCAGUGACAAUGGGCAGCCACUUCGCAAGGAGGCGCUAAUCCCAAAAAGCUGUCUCAGUUCAGAUUGUCCUCUGCAACUCGAGGGCAUGAAGUUGGAAUCGCUAGUAAUCGGCCAUCAGCAUGGGCCGGUGAAUACGUUCCCGGGUCUUGUACACACCG